GGGCAAAUAGUUGCUUUGUGGAGAAUGAAAAAAAAAGAGAAAAAAAAAAACUCCACCCAAGGAUUGAUAGAUUUUUUUUCUAAGGGAUCAGUGAGACGACGAGUUAAAAAGCAUUGCUUAGUUUUAUAGGCGCCCUGACGUCAGGACUGAAAUAUAAAAUUGACUGAGACUCAGCCAAUGAGGAGCUCAGCCUGGGGACGUAAUUAGCAUAAUAGUAAAGAAGGCAAAGUUUUCUGAACUGUCCAAGCCCAUCAGCAGACUGACACAUGAGACUUAAUAUUCAUUCUUUUGUCAGUUUGCAUGGAAGAUAGCGAAAGCGAAUAAAAGGCAACAGACUCGGAGGAUUAACAAAAGAUCACAUUCCUCAGGAGUGGUGCCACAUAAGAACAAACAAUAAGGAGGGCUAUACUCAGAGGACUGGAGAGUAAAUAAGAGCAGUCUCCCUGGAACAUGUCACACGGGGAAGCUUCAGAAAACUACAAAGCCGCCAGCAGAUAAUCCAACUCCCCGGUGUCCUAACGCAAAGUUCACCCCAGGAGAACACUGAUGGAUCAUGGGUAAAGGAUAAUGCUCCUGGAUUUCCCUGUGAUUUACUGAAUGAGGAGCUGUGAGAAGCUAUUACAAGGAGGAGCCUGAAGAACAGAGCCACGCUUUCCCCUGCCAGUGUUUUACAGGGGGAAUAAAGGAAUGCAUAUUAAGAUAAUAAGCUUCCACAUCACAGAAACAAAGUGCCAUAUUUGCAAAGUGCUACAUUUGAGAGUACAGGCUUAGUUGCUCUCUCUCACUAUCUCACUGGCCUGUUCUCCGGUCCUGCAUUAAUCAGACUUUUACCACCUUUUUCGAUUCAUUUGCCUGCUCAGGAAGCAGGUAGCUGAGUGAACUGUCUGUUUAUGUGUGGACUUGACAAGCUGAAAAACGUCUGUGUGAUUAAUGGGCGAGAAAUAGACCUUCAACAAGUGAGUUUGAUCAUUACUUUGCAGUGUACUCGUUCAUUGUGCAACAGUGUACCCAGAGAAUAACAGGAUAUGGGUUUACCACUAAUGUGUUCAUAGAAAGGCCUGACGUUCCUCUGUUGUUUCUGCUCUGAUCUAGAUCUGGUUUUUAAACUCUACAGUGGCAGAAAUGUCCAAGCCACCACAGUCAAACACACCCUUAAAGCCUAAAAACGGAAACAUUAUGCAGCAGAGCGAUGUAAGAUCCUGAUUCUAAUGACUGGAUACUCUUGAUUAGAAAACCAAACUGUGACUGUCUCUCUCUUGCUCUCUCUCUCUCUCUGUCUGGCUCUGUGCCUGCCAGAAGGAUGCUUCAACCUGGUAAUUGGCCACAAUGAGCAGACUUGCAUGUGUCAAACUCCCCUCUUCACAUCUGGUUAUUGUCUCUCACAGCAGGUGGACAUCACAGGCAUCGUCUCGAGCAGUCUCAUUUGCUCUCUGUCUCUGUGUAACAUGGGAUGCACUACACUUUACAAACCUGCAAAAGUGCAUGAGUAGUUUAAAAUAGGAUAUCUCUAUGGUGAGCAUUUAACACGUGAGGAAGAUGCAGGUCAUUCACAUGUCAGUGCAGUCCGUGAGCUGAUGAUUUUCAUAGGCCUUAUUAAUACAUGAAUAUGUGAAAUUGGAAGCACUGCAAGAGGAAGUAGCUCUUUGGGGAUUCAGCAGUCCAGGUUCAUGAAUGUAAUCAUGUUUACACACAAGCACACUAAAAUUAAGUAUGAAUCGUGUGGAACCUGAGCUCAUUCUCUCAUUAGACACACACUGCUACAUUAUUGGCUUCAUUAGCAGUCCCUACCGUGUAUCACCCAGCAUGAGGAGGAGCAGGUACAAAAAGAAAAAAAAUACAACAAAAGUACACAAGCUAUUUGCUCUUCACCAAUAGUUUUACUAAUGGUUUCUAAUAGCCCACCUAACUGAGGGAGAAACAUGGAUAAUUUUAGCUUUUCGUGGGUAAUGACUGUGAUUUUCUGUUUUUAGCCAUAUAUGAACACACUGUUUGGAUGGGUUACUUCCUGUGUGCACGUGGCAUGAUGAUUCAUGUUGCAGUCGGAGGGUAUGAGCUGUUAUUGAUGUGGGCGGUAUAUGUACUGUGCUAUAUGCUCUCUGCAAGUGUACAUUGUUAUUAAUGUCCACAGUGUCCACUCUGUGCUGUUAUUAAUGUGACUCAUAUACAUAAAGAGUUUCCCCAUUAGUCAGAGUCGAACUGUGCCGUCAUAGACAGAGGUGGUACUUGUAGUCUUCUUCCUUUUUAUUCUCCUUCACCUCCCCCACAGCGUCAUCACCACCAUCCUGUGUCUGACCUAUAAUGUGAAAUUGUGCACAAAUACAAACAGGCUUCUCUUAAUAAACUCCUCUGGAGUCUGCUAAUUGACUGAGACUAAAGCACAUGGUGUAAUCCAGUGACUCAGUUCACUGGUUAAUUUAAUUCACUAUAAAAUCUUGCAAAAGUUCUUUCAAUGCAACAGAAGCAAUGAACUAGUUUAGAGUUAAAUUUAGUCAGUAUAAGUAGUCCCAGGUGAUUAAUUGAGUGACAGAAAAUUAAUUAAAUUUGAUACUUCAUGUUUAAUCAGCAGGCAAAAUGCGUCUAUUCACUUGUUCCAAAUUCUCAAGUGUGACAAUUUGCUGAAUUUUUAUGUAUUUUUAUAUUCAGAUUUUUGACUGUUGGUUAGAUAAAGUAAU